rnacentral:piRNA from 1 species
UGAAGUGACACGGCUCACUGUUUCUGC